rnacentral:lncRNA from 1 species
AGAUCACCUGUGAAACUUUCUUGAGGGGAGAUGGCGGUUUCUUUCGCAAACGUCAACUCCGACGCAGGGCUUAAAAAGCUUGAUGAGUACCUUCUCACUCGCAGCUACAUCACUGGGUAUGUGACUCAGACUACUCUAUGUACUCUUGUGGUUAUAUCUGCUAUAUAUUUACACUGUAUUAAUCUUCUCCUAGUUACCAAGCUUCCAAGGAUGACUUGGCUGUCUACUCGUCAUUUUCUGUGGCCCCCUCAUCCAAGUACAUCAAUGUUGCAAGGUGGUUCAGUCACAUUGAUGCCCUCGUGAGGCUAUGGUAACCACUUGUUCUAACCUUUUUUUUCUCGACUGCCUUGUUGGCACUUUGAGUUGUGAAUGUGCUUAAUGGUCUGUGCAUGUUCCAGUGGAAUAACCGCAGAGGGCCAAGGUGUCAAGGUUGAAUCAUCUGCUGUUCCAUCAGCCUCAACUCCUGAUGUUGCUGAUGCAGCGGUAUAUUCUUCACCUUCUAGCCUGAAAACUAUCAAAUAAUCUAAAUAUUGUGCUGUUUCCUUGUGUUUUACCAAAAAAUAUUAAGUACUCUUAAAUGCUCACAUAAUUUAUUCGGUGACGAAGAUCACUGGCUUAAACUGUUGUUGAUGAAAGUUGUCAUUGCUGUUUAAUUUGCUCUAUCACAGAUAUGAACCCCCCUGUACUCUAGUUACUGUGUCUCAUAACUGAAGUGUGCUUUUUCUAAAUGCAGGCCCCAGCUGAUGACGACGACGACGAUGAUGUUGACCUAUUUGGUGAGGAGACUGAAGAGGAGAAAAAGGCUGCUGAAGAGCGUGCUGCGGCUGUUAAGGCUUCUGGCAAGAAGAAAGAAUGUAUGCCAGUUUCUCUCAUCCAUCUCUUUGCGUUGACACUAUUUUGGAAAUAUGAACCCUCAGUAUUGAUACAUUGCUAUUGGAGCUUUGUUUCCUUGCUCAUGAGUCAUGAACUUCAAAGCCUGGUGCUAAUGUUUCCUUACCCUGUCAGCUGGGAAGUCAUCAGUUUUGCUUGAUGUGAAGCCAUGGGAUGAUGAGACUGACAUGGCCAAGCUUGAGGAAGCAGUAAGGAAUGUCAAGAUGGAAGGACUGCUCUGGGGUGCAUGUAUGUUAAAACUAAGAUAUUUUCCUAUUCACGAAAUUUAGUGUCUCAUGUUUGGCCAUUUAGUAAUUUGGUUUCUGACAUGAAUACUUACUAUCCUUUUUCAGCCAAGCUAGUCCCAGUUGGAUAUGGCAUCAAGAAGCUGCAGAUCAUGUUGACAAUUGUUGAUGAUCUUGUCUCUGUUGACACACUCAUCGAGGACUAUCUGUGCGCUGAGCCAGUGAACGAGCACGUCCAGAGCUGCGACAUUGUUGCCUUCAACAAGAUCUGUAAGUCUCCAAUCCUGUGAUCCUCUGAAUUUCUACAGGUGCAAUAACAUCAUCUGGGGUGUGAAUAACAUUAUCACGUCCAGAGCUAUGAAUGCUCUAUGUUUCUGCCUUUGUAAUCACUUCCAUAUUAUUGUCCUGCAGUUCUCUUCCAUUUGUAGUCGAUAUUGUCUGCCUAUCUAACCUUUGAUCAAUCCUUCUGUGUUGCAGAAAUCGGCUUGAGGUGCUGGCUGUGGUCGGUGGACAAUGCACCGGCCCAAUUUAUCCAGAGUUUUUGUUGCCUAUGUCAGCUUCGUGUGUCGACUAGUAAUUGCCCGUGAGGUUUUUGGAACCUAGUCAAGUGU